GUGACUGCGUACCUUUUGUAUAAUGGGUCAGCGACUUAUAUUCUGUAGCAAGGUUAACCGAAUAGGGGAGCCGGAGGGAAACCGAGUCUUAACCGGGCGUUAAGUUGCAGGGUAUAGACCCGAAACCCGGUGAUCUAGCCAUGGGCAGGUUGAAGGUUGGGUAACACUAACUGGAGGACCGAACCGACUAAUGUUGAAAAA
rnacentral:rRNA from 2 species